CAGAGUAGCUGUCGACAUUAUAGUUGCGCAAGCACUUUGAUGACUCUAGAGAACCUCGGGCCAAUCGCACGUCCCCGUGACGUCUGCCCUAUCAACUUUCGAUGCCACUUUCUGCACCUACCCUGGUGACCAUGGGUAAUGGGGAAUCAGGGUUCGAUUCCAGAGAGGGAGCCUGAGAAAUGGCUAACACAUCCAAGGAAGGCAGCAGGCGCGCAAAUUACCCACUCCCAACGUGGGGAGGUAGUG